CGCAAACAUAAAGUGAAGUCUAUAUCUCUCUAUCUCUCUCUCUGCCUUUUGUUGUUUGCAAUAAGAAAGAAGAAGAAUCUAUGCUUUUGAUCAAGUCCAUGGCGGACAAGGAAAACAAGCUAAAACCAAACACUUCAUCACUAGAAAUUUCCACAUUUUCCGAUCAGAUUCCGGCGAAUAAUUAUUCUUUAUCAAGCAUCUUUGAUAUGCCAACAUGUGAAACUGAAAAGGGUUCUUCUUUAAGCUUAAUAGAAACCAUGUUUUCUUCUCAUCCAAUUACUACUCCUUCUACAUUCGAUUUGCUUCAACCUCCACCACCAGCUGUACCUUUAUUGGUACCAUCACAAAUAGUCAAUAAGAUUCCGUCGUCUGAGAUUGUAAAUACUCCUAAUUCGUCCUCCAUCUCUUCAUCAUCAACUGAAGCUGCUGCCAAUGAUGAUCAACUACAGCCCAACACUCAAACAGUAGAUGGUGAUGAUCAACACAAGAAUAAGAAACAGUUAAAACCCAAGAAGAAGAACCAAAAGAGGCAAAGAGAGCCGAGAUUUGCGUUCAUGACAAAGAGCGAAGUUGAUCAUUUGGAUGAUGGUUUUAGAUGGAGAAAGUACGGCCAAAAAGCAGUAAAAAACAGCCCCUUUCCCAGGAGCUACUAUCGUUGCACCACCGCAACAUGUGGUGUGAAGAAGAGAGUGGAAAGGUCAUCUGAAGAUACUUCAAUAGUAGUUACAACUUAUGAAGGUAUUCACACUCAUCCAUGCCCCAUUACGCCUCGCAGCUGCAUCGGCAUUCUGUCUGAAACCACCGCCUACGGUGGCUCAAUUGGUGGUCUUGGCGGCAAUGGUGGUGGUUCCUCUUUAUUUAUCCCACAAUUCCAUUAUCAAGCAUUACAACAACAACCGACCUAUUUUCAGACACCAACAUUACCGAUGAACUUUAUUAGUACUUGUGAUUCCUCCUUAUAUUCAUCACAAGAGAGAAGGUUCUCGCCUUCUACUUCUUCUUCUUCCUCUUUGGCUAGAGAUCAUGGGCUUCUGCAGGACAUGGUGCCAUCCCAAAUGAGGAGAGAUCCAAAACAAGACGGAGUAUAUAUGUAGCAGGGUGGCAUUCUCAUUGAGCACUCUGUCAAUGAAAUCUCAAAGCUAGUUCGAUGGGAAUAUAUAUGCUAAGCAUUCUAUAGAGAGGUGACGGUGGCAGCUUGAUGGCUCAUAUAUAUAUAUAGGAGCAUGGCGUCAGAUUUUGUUGAAGAUCUUAUUAAAGCAUAUAGUUGUAUAGAGUAAAUAGGGUUAUGUACUUACCACUGGAGUUGGACAGCCAUGUCCAUAUAUAUGACAGACUUUUUGCUUGAAAUGUCCACUUCAAUUCAAUACUAUAUGCUACUUCAGGCCAGGCAUCAUUUCUUCCCUACACUAUUGAGAUGCAAACUUUAAUCUCCUCCACCUUCCUCUUCUCCAUCCUUCCUUAAUUUCUCUUCAUUUUAUAAAUAUACAGAGCUAUGUAAUUUCAAAAUUAAUCAUUUUAAGUUGCAUGUUUCAAUCUGAAUGAAAACCAAAAGCACGCCAAUCUUAUAUAUUCCUCUAUUUUUGGUUUUAGAUAUAAACAUUCCAAUUAACCAAAAGUUUGAAAUAGCUUAAUUGUUGUUAUAAUUGUGCUGGAUUCGUCUUGUUGAGGCAAUUUCACAAGUACUUCCACCGUUUCACAAAUAUUAUGGGGUGUUUACAACCAUAAAUUUUAA